UACAGGGGGUGCAAACGUUGCUCGGAAUCAUUGGGCGUAAAGCGCACGUAGGCGGUUCGUUAUGUCGGAUGUGAAAGCCCUUGGCUUAACCGAGGAAGUGCAUCCGAAACUGGCGAGCUAGAGUACUAAAGAGGAUCGCGGAAUUCCCGGUGUAGAGGUGAAAUUCGUAGAUAUUCGGAAGAACACCAGUGGCGAAGGCGGCUCACUGGCCCGGUACUGACGCUGAGGUGCGAAAGCGUGGGGAGCAAACAGG
rnacentral:rRNA from 1 species